AGAGAAGCUUUUAGAGAGCGA
rnacentral:snRNA from 1 species